rnacentral:rRNA from 1 species
GACGAACGCUGGCGGCGCGCCUAACACAUGCAAGUCGAACGGAGCUGCGAGAAGCUUGCUUUUCUUAGCUUAGUGGCGAACGGGUGAGUAACGCGUGAGUAACCUGCUCUGGAGUGGGGGACCACAGUUGGAAACGACUGCUAACACCGCAUAAGCCCACGAUCCGGCAUCGGAUUGAGGGAAAAGGAUUUAUUCGCUUCAGGAUGGACUCGCGUCCAAUUAGCUAGUUGGUGAGGUAACGGCCCACCAAGGCGACGAUUGGUAGCCGGACUGGGAGGUUGAACGGCCACAUUGGGACUGAGACACGGCCCAGACUCCUACGGGAGGCAGCAGUGGGGGAUAUUGCACAAUGGGGGAAACCCUGAUGCAGCGACGCCGCGGGGAGGAAGAAGGUUUUCGGAUUGUAAACUCCUGUCGUUAGGGACGAUAAUGACGGUACCUAACAAGAAAGCACCGGCUAACUACGUG